rnacentral:snRNA from 1 species
AUCGCUUCUCAGCCUUUUGGCUAAGAUCAUGUGUAGUAUCUGUUCUUAUCAGUUUAAAUAUUAGAAAACCUGGUCUCAUAUCUUAUAAUCCAGUGGAGAGAUGAAAGAAAUAUAAAACAUGUUUUUAAAAAGUCAAACAAAACAUUU